rnacentral:misc_RNA from 1 species
UUCCUGAUUGUUGAUAAACAAACAUGUCAGAAUCCAUGGAUCACAAGGACUUCGUAGAAUGGACAAUCCAGUGCUUAAGAGCAGCAAAUCUAACAUGAAGAGGUUCCAGCAAGGAUAUUUUCUAAAACUCGGGCAAUCAUCUUAAAAAGUGUAAGAUCAUAAGCAUAACUAAUCAGCAAAACAGAAUGAAAAUAAAUCAAACAAAGCAAUAAUGAGAUAAAGUCUAAUCAAGAUCAAUGUAGCAUGGAAACAGA